UCAGUUCGGAUUGUAGGCUGAAACUCGCCUACAUGAAGCUGGAGUUACUAGUAAUCGCAGAUCAGAAUGCUGCGGUGAAUGCGUUCCCGGGUCUUGUACACACCGCCCGUCACACCACGGAAGUUGGGGGCGCCCGAAGCCACUUAGCUAACCCUUUUGGGAAGCGAGUGUCGAAGGUGAAAUCAAUAACUGGGGUGAAGUCGUAACAAGGUACC
rnacentral:rRNA from 1 species